rnacentral:rRNA from 1 species
GACGAACGCUGGCGGCGUGCCUAAUACAUGCAAGUAGAACGCAGUUGCGAACGGGUGAGUAACGCGUAGGUAACUGCCUGGUAGCGGGGGAUAACUAUUGGUAACGAUAGCUAAUACCGCAUACUACCAGAUGGACCUGCGUUGUAUUAGCUAGUUGGUUGGGUAACGGCUCACCAAGGCAACGAUACAUAGCCGACCUGAGAGGGGGAACGGCCAAACUGGGGCUGGGGAAAGGGCCAGACCCCUACGGGAAGGAACAGGAGGGAAAUUUCGGCAAUGGACGGAAGUCUGACCGAGCAACGCCGCGGGAGUGAAGAAGGUUUUCGGGUCGUAAAGCUCCUUUGUGAGGGAAGCGGUAUCUUACCAGAAAGGGACGGCUAACUACGUGCCAGCAGCCGCGGUAAUAC